AAAAAUGCGUGAGCGAUGGUAGCGGAUAUCCUUUUUGUUUUUCCGGAAAAACAAAAAGAUAGAAGCGGACGUAGCGACCCGGG
rnacentral:sRNA from 1 species